rnacentral:lncRNA from 1 species
AUGUCUUAUCAACAGUAGCAAUGUAAGCAGCCCUGCCAGCCACCUCCUGUGUGCCGCCUGCCAAAGCGUCCAGAGCCAUGUCCACCCCUGAAGUGCCCUGAGCCCUGCCCACCACCAAAGUGUCCACAGCCCUGCCCACCUCAGCAGUGCCAGCAGAAAUAUCCUCUGGUGACACCUUCCCCACCCUGCCAGCCAAAGUGUCCACCCAAGAGCAAGUAA